rnacentral:snRNA from 1 species
AUCCCAGUGCAGGGGUAUUACGCGUAUCAGUGAGGAUUCGUCCGAGAUCGCGUUUUUGCUAAUUGCAAACUAUACCCUUGACCGCUCCCUGUUGGCUUCGGCCGGCUGGGGAAUUUCUGGAACAUCUCUCCCUUGUGGGAA